UACGUAGGGGGCAAGCGUUGUCCGGAAUUAUUGGGCGUAAAGGGCGCGCAGGUGGUUCCUUAAGUCUGAUGUGAAAGCCCACGGCUCAACCGUGGAGGGCCACUGGAAACUGGGGAACUUGAGGACAGAAGAGGAGAGCGGAAUUCCACGUGUAGCGGUGAAAUGCGUAGAUAUGUGGAGGAACACCAGUGGCGAAGGCGGCUCUCUGGUCUGUAACUGACGCUGAGGCGCGAAAGCGUGGGGAGCAAACAGG
rnacentral:rRNA from 1 species